UACGUAGGUGGCAAGCGUUGUCCGGAUUUACUGGGCGUAAAGCGCACGUAGGCGGCUUUGCAAGUUAGAGGUGAAAGCCCGGGGCUCAACUCCGGAAUUGCCUUUAAAACUGCAUCGCUAGAAUUGUGGAGAGGUAAGUGGAAUUCCGAGUGUAGAGGUGAAAUUCGUAGAUAUUCGGAAGAACACCAGUGGCGAAGGCGACUUACUGGACACAUAUUGACGCUGAGGUGCGAAAGCGUGGGGAGCAAACAGG
rnacentral:rRNA from 1 species